AUCUAUUCUCGAAGGUACGCAUUAGGAGGAACUACUUUUCGUCGCGUAGGUUAACAAACAGCGGCCAUCAUCUAUAGAGUUUUCUGGAAGGUUUUGAAAUUCGAAUUCGAAAUAAAAUGGGAUUUAAGCCAGCUACAACUUGAAAUCGACCUAUGAUUAGCAGAUUCUUGGAUUUUCGGCAGAAAUAUUAGAUGAAUAUACAUAUAAACGUUUUAUAGCCGAUCGAUCAACACACGUGACAGGACUAGGAUUACCUUGCUUAAUAAUGAAGGCACAUGCGUCUGGACCUAGAGUAUCGUAUAGCGGCACGAGGACCAUACUGUAGCAAUACACAGCCUGUUCGG